UCAGGUGUGCCCGGGGUGGCGUCACUUCCUGGGUCGGGACCGGCCGUCCCCCGCCGCCGCGGGGAGCUGAAGGCUACGUUCGCUGUCAGGGAGAGCUGUUGUGGUGUGGCGUGGCGUGGCCCAGCCCGGCCCGUCCUGGGCUGGUGCGGACUUCUCUUCCCGGGUGCUGCUGACAGCCUGGCGCAGGAACUGCUAUGGGAACCCCAGAGGAUAUGCGUCCCUUCAGCAGAGAAGGGCAAACCCUUAACCAGUGCAUGCUGCCCGAGUCUGCGAGACUCGGGUCAGCCUGCUCUGGGUGGCAGAGCCUGGCCUCUGUCCAGGCACAUUGUAAAGCAACAAUUCUUAGCUUCUCUGCUGUCAAGACUGAUGCGUCUCUGGUUUUUAGUCGCCCCUGGGAGUAGGUACUUUGAUGAUCCCGGUGGCAAAUUUAAGUGCCUGAAUCCCUUUGCGGAUAUAAUUGCAGGUACCACAGGACUUGGACUAAUGAGUAAAGAGUCUUGCUCUUUUACUGAGAUGCUGCAGUUUGAAGGAAGAUGCCUGCAGCCUCUGGUCUGUAACACGGCAGUGAAGAGGCUAUUCCAAUCUGCAUCCUGACCUUCACACCUAUUGUGUGUCUCAAGGUUAAUGAAGAUCAUGCUUGUUUGUUAUACUGAAUAUCAGACUGAAGUUGAUUGUUCUAGGCAAUUAGUGUCUGAUCAUUUAAUCUGGUUGGAUAGGCAAUAGAUAGAGGACAAUGCGUUUUAAAGCUAGAAUAAUAGCAGCAGGCAUUCUUGUCUUUGCAAAGUUCCAUUGAAAAAGAACCUAUAGACACAUUUAAUUACUUUCAAAAGACACGGGACAUUGAGUCUGUUCUUAGGGCUUUAUUCCAUAUGCAUGUGUUCCUGCUUAAUUUACUCCGGAUUAAAUCAAACAAUGGCUCACACUGAAUGAGGACAGCUAUAUAUAAAUACACCAGGAAUAACAAAUAGUUAUGUGUAGAGAAAGCCCUAAGGUCACCUGUGUGAAGCAAAAUUAUACCUCUAUCUGACCUCUUUCUUCUGGCUGUCAUCCUACGUUCUUCCUUGCUUUGAUUUGGGACUUCAGCUACAACUGGAUCAGCCUGGACUCCAUUCUCUCAAGGAGAUCUACUGAAAUUGAAGCAAUUUGGGGAACCAGGGUCUUGGAUACUAUGUGUUUUAGAGGCAUGUACCAUGUUGUUUGAAAUAACACACUAGAUGUUUUAUUCUGCUGUCAUUCAAACUCCUGUUUCAUUGGGAAGAUGGUGAAAGUUGAAAAACGAAGUCAGAUAAAACCCAAUCUGUACUUGUCAGUUGAGUUUAAGCAAAAAGUAGAUUGUUUCCCUUCUAUCUGCACUUUGAUUUGAGAGAAUUAAAUCAAUGAACACCAGCAAAAAAGAGGUGAGGGCUGGUGAUAGAACACAUAAAGAGCUCAUCUAAGAAUAUUUUAAUUAGUGCAUUUAAGAGGGCUACACCUAAACAAAAAUCACAUUUAGAGUGCUUAGCGAGCUGGCUGUCCAGACUUCAGGCUUUUAGUUGAUGCAGUGUAGGAGGGAUGGAAAAGGGCACCAGAAGAUCUUGUCUUAAAGAGGCAGAAAAAGAAGGUGGCAAGGGAAUUCUCAAGCAGCUAAGUUCCUGACUAAAUAUUAAUAACUAAACAAAGAAAUAGAAAAGAUGUGCUAAUAGCUAGCCAGUCUGAGAAACAACAGUCAAUACUAGGUUUACUGAGAACAAAUCACAUGAAGCCAACCUAAAAUAUCUUUUUUUUUGUGGCAAGAUAACCAGUCUUGUAUAAACCUUUUUCUCCUGUGCAUGUACAUCAGCAGAGGCAUCACCAAGAAACUCUGUUGUCACUGUCUCCCUGUCUUGCAGUAUUUCUCAGUCCUUCAGAGAACAGGGUUUAAUCCAGUGUUUAAGCCUUUUUUCUUUCCAGAAUUACAUCCUUUUAAAGAGUUGCUAGAUGUGUAUGAAAUUGGCCAAGCUGAAGCUUCAUCAAGAAUGAAAGGCACCUUUAUCCUGAGUAUUAGAGCUAAACUGUUUUGAUUUUAUGUUCUUCAAACAUAUAGCAGAUGACAACUGUGCAAUAUAUUUAAAGCUAAUAUAAAAGAGCACUAAUUUGCAGAUUGCAUCUUUCCAGAGAGAUAAAAGCAAAAAUCCACCUAUUUGCUCACUCUGCAAACAUCUGAGCUACGGCUUAGGUUUUUAGAUGUAAACAGUGCAAUACUGCAGCUGGGUUAAGCCAACCUACACUGUCUUGGAAGGAGGCUGCCAUUCUCUUUUUCUGUGGGUGCUAGUAUUCACAUGGUUGUGCUCAGGUUCACGUCAUUUAACAGUAACUGAGUCAGCUUAAUGAUCUCACUUUAAAAAACUCCCUUGGUUAGUUUUCAGACAGAUCAGAAAGCUGGCCUAACUUACCAGAUGCUCAUUAAUGUCCACAGAAAGGGAGGCAAGUAGUCUGGAAGGAAACUACCUCCGAAGAGGAAGGUGAUGAAAGGGCAUAGUUACACAUCAUAGUCGAUGUUGGAGUUCCUUGCUGAUCUCAUUUAAAGUACACACUCCCUAACAACUGACAAGUGUGGUGUGGAAAUGAGCAGCAGGAAGAGGGUGGGAAUCCUUAAACCAACUUUUCCACUGAAGAAAAUUAACAAAUAAAUCACAGUCUACGUAAUGCUACUGAACUCCACAACACACUCUGGCAAGGCUGCUACUAGUAUCCAGUCAGA